rnacentral:rRNA from 1 species
AACAAGUAUUAAAGGCAACGCCUGCCCAGUGAACAAUUAAACGGCCGCGGUACCCUAACCGUGCAAAGGUAGCAUAAUCAUUUGUCUACUAACUAUAGACCUGUAUGAAAGGCAAAAUGAGGGUUUAACUGUCUCUUAUAAUAAAUCUAUUAAACUGAUCUCCCAGUAAAAAAGCUGGAAUUCCACCACAAGACCAGAAGACCCUGUGAAGCUUUAACUAAACUAUUAAACCCAAUAAUAGCUACUUUAGGUUGGGGCGACCUUGGAAAAAAAAAGAACUUCCAAACACAAAUUCCAUAUAGGCCUACAAGCCAACAAAUGACCCAGUAAUACUGAUAAUUGAACAAAGUUACUCCAGGGAUAACAGCGCCAUCUUCUUCAAGAGCCCAUAUCAAAAAGAAGGUUUACGACCUCGAUGUUGGAUCAGGACAUCCUAAUGGUGCAACCGCUAUUAAGGGUUCGUUUGUUCAACGAUUAAUGUCCU